rnacentral:rRNA from 1 species
CCUUUGGAGGGUUUGAUCCUGGCUCAGAGUGAACGCUGGCGGCGUGGAUUAGGCAUGCAAGUCGAGCGAUGUUUUUUUAAAGAUAAGUCCUUUCGGGGGCUUGUCCUGAAAAAGCAUAGCGGCAAACGGGUGAGUAACACGUGGGUAAUCUACCCUGGAGAGGAGGAUAGCUUCGAGAAAUCGGAGGUAAUACUCCAUACAGUCCUGCCAUCAAUUUGGCAGGAUGAAGGAUGGCUGAGGACUUCGGUCCGCUGUCGCUUUAGGAGGAGCCCGCGGCCUAUCAGGUAGUUGGUGGAGUAAGAGCCUACCAAGCCAAAGACGGGUAGCUGGCAUUAGCGUGUGGUCAGCCACAUCGGGACUGAGACACUGCCCGGACUCCUACGGGAGGCUGCAGUCGAGAAUCUUUCCCAAUGGGCGAAAGCCUGAGGAUGCGACG